rfam:Lupinus angustifolius cultivar Tanjil chromosome LG15, whole genome shotgun sequence.
UUACUAUAUGUGUCAUUAAUUUAUGAUUAGUUGAAAAAAUAUUUUUAAAUUAAAAAAUUAAUAAUUAAUCAUUUUUUCUGACCAAUCGAAGCUGAUUGGUGGGAUCCCCUUGUGGGUUGCACCGCCGACUGAGCCUGAUCUUCUGUGAAGGGUUCGAGUGAGAGCAUACCUGUCGGGACCUGAAAGAUGGUGAACUAUGCCUGAGCGGGGCAAAGUCAGAGGAAACUCUGGUAGAAGUUCGCAACGAUACUGACAUGCAAAUUGUUCAUUUGACUUGGGUAUAAGGGCGAAAGACUAAUCGAACUGUAUAUGUAUAUUUGA